ensembl:lncRNA
GAGAGCAGUUAACACCAGACAACCCAAGAAUAUUGCUGAACAGAAACAGUUUUGUAAAAAGGAAUGGACCAAAUUCCUCCUGACCGUAGUGCAGGUCUGAUCUGCAACUACAGAAAAAGGUUUGGUUGAGGUUAUUGCUGCCAAAGGAGGGUCAACCAGUUAUUAAAUCCAAUUGUUCCACAUUUUACUUUUCCCACCAUGCACUGUGAAUGUUUACACGGUGUGUUCGAUAAAAACAUAAAAACAUAUAAUUGUGUGUUAUUAGUUUAAGCGACUGGUUUGUCUAUUGUUGUGACCUAGAUGAAGAUCAGAUCAAUUUGAUGACUAAUUUAUGCAGAAAUCCAGGAAUUUCAAAGGGUUCAUAUACUUUUUUCUGACACUGUAUUAUGUAUUCCAGCUGGUUUAGGUUUAAUGUGGAAUAAUUAAGUCGGCAUCACACUCGAAGCAGGAAUGAUACAGCACAAGACCGACCGGUGGACAUGUUAGAACAUCAUAUGGUCGCCGGACAACCGGUGACGUUCAGAUACAGACCGGUGACUCCAGAUAGACAGACCGGUGACUCCAGAUACAGCCGGUGACUCAGAUAGACAGACCGGUGACUCCAGAUACAGACCGGUGGACUCCAGAUACAGACCGGUGACUCCGAUACAGACCAGGUGACUCCAGAUAGACGACCGGUGACUCCAGAUACAGGACCGGUGACUUCAGAUACGACGCGUGACUUCAAGAUACAGACCGGUGACUCAGACACAGACCGGUGACUCCAGAUACAGACCGGUGACUCCGAUAGACAGACCGGUGACUCAGAUACAGCCGGUGACUCCUGAUAGACAGACGGUGACUCCUGAUAGACAGACCGGUGACUUCAGAUACAGACCGGUGACUCCUGAUAGACAGACCGGUGACUCCAGAUAGACAGACCGGUGACUCCAGAUACAGACCAGUGACUCCAGAUACAGACCGGUGACUCCAGAUAGACAGACGGUGUGACUCCAGAUAGACAGACCGGUGACUCCAGAUGACAGACCGGUAUCAGAUAGACCGGUGACUUCAGACAGAUGUGCCUCAGUAGACGAACGGUGACUCCAGAUAGACAGAACGGGUACUCCAGAUACAGACCGGUGACUUCAGAUAGACAGACGUGACUACAGAUAGACAGGUGACUCCAGAUACAGACCGGUGACUCCAGAUACAGACGGUGACUUCAGAUAACAGACCGGUGACUCCAGAUACGACGUGACUCCAGUAAACAGACCGGUGACUUCAGAUACAGACCGGUGACUCAGAUACAGACCGGUGACUCAGAUACAGACCAGUGACUUCAGUACAGACCAGUGACUUCAGAUACAGACCGGUGACUUCAGAUAGACAACGGCUCCAGUAGACGACCGGUGACUAGAUAGACGACCGGUGACUUCAGAUAGACCGACGUGACUUCCGAUAGACAGACCGUGACUUCAGAUAGACAGACCGGUGACUCCGAGAAGUGACACAGACCGGUGACUCCAGAUAGACAGCCCGGUGACUCCCAGAUAGACAGACCGGUGCUCCAGAUAGACGACCGGUGACUCCAAUAGACAACCGUUGACUUCCAGAUAGACAGACCGUGACUCCAGAUAGACAGACCGGUGACUUCAGAUAAGACCGUGAUUCAGAUACAGACCGUGACUCCAGAUACAGACGGUGACUCAAGAUACAGACCGGUGACUUCCUUAGAUAGACAGACCGGUGACCAGAUAGACAGACCGGUGACUCCAGAUAGACAGACGGUGACUCCAGAUAGAAAGACCGGUGACUCCAAUACAGACCGGUGACAUCCAGAUACAGACCGGUGACUUCAGAUAGACAGACGGUGACUCAAUUACAGGACCGGUGAUCCAGAUAGACAGACGGGUGACUCGAAGAAGACCGGUGGAUCCAUGAUGACAGACCGGUGACUUCAGAUAGACGACCGGUGACUUCAGAUACAGGCCGUGACUUCAGAAGGCCGACCGUGACUCCCGAUAGACGGCCGGUGACUUCAGAUAGACAGACCGGUGACUUCAGAUACAGACCAGUGACUCCAGAUGCAGACCGGUGACUCCAAUAGACGGACCGGUGACUUCAGAUAAGCCAUGCUAGAACAUCAUAUGGUUGGAACGAACGACUGGUGACUACAGAUUGACAGACGACUGGUUGCCUCCAGAUAGACCAUGCUAGAACAUCAUAUGGUCAGUAGGUAACUCCAGAUAGACCACUGCUAGAACAUCAUAUGG